rfam:Salmo salar isolate Sally breed double haploid chromosome ssa09, whole genome shotgun sequence.
GGCAUUCACUACUGUAAGUCGCUUUGGAUAAGAGCGUCUGCUAAAUGACUAAAA